rnacentral:tRNA from 1 species
AUUAUAUUGGCAGAAUAAUGCAUUAGAAUUAGAAUCUAAUUAACUAAAUAUAU